rnacentral:rRNA from 1 species
ACUCCUGCGGGAGGCAGCAGUGGGGAAUUUUGGACAAUGGGCGAAAGCCUGAUCCAGCAAUGCCGCGUGAGUGAAGAAGGCCUUCGGGUUGUAAAGCUCUUUUGUCAGGGAAGAAACGGUGAGAGCUAAUAUCUCUUGCUAAUGACGGUACCUGAAGAAUAAGCACCGGCUAACUACGUGCCAGCAGCCGCGGUAAUACGUAGGGUGCAAGCGUUAAUCGGAAUUACUGGGCGUAAAGCGUGCGCAGGCGGUUUUGUAAGUCUGAUGUGAAAUCCCCGGGCUCAACCUGGGAUUUGCAUUGGAGACUGCAAGGCUAGAAUCUGGCAGAGGGGGGUAGAAUUCCACGUGUAGCAGUGAAAUGCGUAGAUAUGUGGAGGAACACCGAUGGCGAAGGCAGCCCCCUGGGUCAAGAUUGACGCUCAUGCACGAAAGCGUGGGGAGCAAACAGGAUUAGAUACCCCAGUAGUCCCA